rnacentral:misc_RNA from 1 species
UAAAGUGCGAUAUGUAGUGCGAUUUGCAUGAAUCUGUGAGUCAUCUAAUCUUUGAACGCAACUUGCGCCUCUCUGAGGCAUGUCUGUUUGAGUGCCGCAUAAUAUCUGCAGCAAUGCGAUUUGACCAUGUCCCUGGACUGGGUCUAAAUGUAGCCAGAUGGUGGCAGUGCUGCUGUCCGAGUGCUAAGCACUGCAUUCUUGGAAUAGCAGUACAGCCAACCAAUAACCAAUCAUAAUUUGGCCUCAAAUCAGGCAAGACUACCCGCUGAACUUAA